GCAGUGAUGAUCAUUACUGGUUUUGAUCACCAAUGAAAACAGCCAACCAAUUCCUCUAAGAAGUUCUGAGCUC